UGUUACGUAAGACUUGUAUGAUUCGACUCCUGUUGAUAGCCUAGAGCGGUUCUGUGCAAAGCGGAAAUUUUAUGAGUUCUUAAACUUCAAAUAUGAGCAAACGGCGAUGAUGAUGGGCGAUUUUAAAACAGUAACAUUUUUAUAACGUACAGCUUUAGAAGAUUAUUAGACAGAACAAAGUGGAAUUUUUACACGUUUCCGUAUUUCACUGGUACAGCAUUGUGUUUGGUUUUACAUCUAAAAGGUGCUGUGGUUGACCAUGUCGCUGCGCAUGACUUGGAUGAAAGUACCGCUAAAUGUGUGGAUUGUCUUCUUUUUUCUUGCAUUCGACAAGCAGUCCCGUAUAACAGCUCAAUCUUCAUCCUUUAUUACGUCUUCAUCUUCGUCCUUCAACAUCACUCAUGCAACACCUUCCAUAAACGCUACAACUGCCAUAGCAACGGGCACUUUCUCUGCAACUGUUACACCGAGUAAAACCUCACCUGUUGCCAUGUCAACGUCAGCUGUUUUUCCUACCGCGGCUGCGAGACCGACGACUGUUAAUACAAAGAAACAAAAGGAGGAGGAGGAAAGAAUAAAGAAACGCAAUGGGAUUAUAGCGGGGAGCAUCGGCGGCAGUGUGCUUAUCAUCGCUGCUGUAAUCACGGUCUGCUGCUCACAUCGGAGACGAGAGACUAAUGUUACUGUACUGUAAAUAAUAGCUGUAACACAUAUCUGUUCUUACAGAACAGAUUCAACUAAUUGGCCAAGUGCACGGGUUUACGGGAAAUCCGAUGUUAAAUUCGAGGCUUCAUGUAUUCUCUUACUCUCCUUCGCAGUCGCUCUUGGUGUCGCUUCUCCCUUGAAAGCGAAAGAACGGCUACGCAGAAAACUGAUGUUCUUGUAAAGCCCAAGCAAACGAAGUCAAUUUCAAUAUAUUUAUUAAACAGCAUUUAAAGAGAGUUUUCCGGGCCGUACGGGAUGUAGGGCCAGCUAAUCAGCCAACGAGAGCGCGCGUAGUACGCUAAUCAACCAAUGAGAGCACGCGUAGCACGCUAAUCAACCAACGAGAACCCGCGUAGUACGCCAAAUAUCCAAUGAGCGUUGUAGCUGUUUAUUUAAGGAAAAUAUUUAGACUCCGCACAAUUUAACACUCCGCACUUACAGUCAAAUCACUAUCUAUGGCUUUGGUCGUGCUGCGUAUUUCGAAUUGAGUAAAUGACACAUGAGAUGGGGAAGUGAUAUGUUGUUUAUGAUAAUUGAUAACGGAAACACUGCCAAAAGUGUAGCAGCACCCGACUUCCCUGAACACGUUAUCGGGGCCCCUGUGUACUAAUCAUUCUUGUUGUACAUCGAGAGCAACUUAUAUAAUGAAAUUUCUUGGUGUAAAAUGUAGCACGUGUACAGUUUUUAUUUAAACUUUAUUUGAUAAUUACUUUCACCACCAAUCAUUACCAUUCCAUCUUAUCAUAUGCAUCACCGUAGCAAUUUGCAGAAUUAACAUUUCUUUUAAGGAUUCAAUAAGGAGAAUAAAGGACGCAAAUACCAA